GUCAGUGUUUUUAUUUAUUAGUGGUACAUCAAAUAAAGGAGCAUCUUACAAUCAAUGACAUCUUACAUAUAAUGGCAUUAUUUUGCUUUAAUUUUAUAACCAACUUGGAGAUCCAUUGACCAAGAUGUUCCGUUGGCCAAGUACAUUGUCAUCUGGCUUCACUGAGAUAACACAAUCAUCUGUCAGCUGAGCAAUUCCUCUGCGAGCUGAGGUUGGGCUUAUCCAUUUUUGAUAUCCUGUGACUUCGGCUCUGUUCUGACCCUCAGCAGGAGCCUGAGAACUGCUUGUAGGGACAUGACCCUGAAGAUGACACUGAUGACUGUUCCCAGGGUUCCGGGGAUGCUCAUGUGGCUCUUGCUGCUUUCCCUUUUACGGCUGUGGGAACUCACAUUAUUUUCAUGACAACUAAGGACUUGAGCUGGUUUGGGCAGUAGCGUGUGGACUUCACUGGGCAGCUGCUAGGGCUCGUCCAUAUUAACCAUCGUGGUGGUGGAGAAUGUGAUGCCAUUGAAGGAGGCCAGGCAAAUAGGCCCUGCAUGCUAUCUGCUAGGUAUUUGCUUUAGGGGUCAAGGGGCUUCACUGACGUCUGUAAUGUGAGAGUUAAGCAGCUUAGCUAGUAACACUACUGAAACACCACUGUUUUUACUGAAAGAUAUAAUGUAUGCAGGGGUCAUUCAUCACAGAUACAGAACGUCCUAAAAAGAAAAAAAAAAAGUAGCAUCAAACACAUUUUAAAUUAUAGACCAGAAGAGUAAACAGACUUGUCUUGUUGGUUUUGUUGCUGCCUCGUGGGGCUAAUGGCCAGCCCCUGGACAGUCCCAAGGGGGCAGCUCAGUUACCAUUCUCAGGAAGAGGAUACGACUGUCUACGGCUCUUCCCAACAACAAACACAGAGUAGCCAUGCACAUCUCAGGAAUGGAGAUGGAGCAAGAGAAAAACUAGCGAUAACAGCUAGAGUUGGUUGCAUUUCUAGUAGGUGCUAAACAACAUGCAAGGUGUUGUACAUGCAUUAUCUCAGGUAUUCCUCACAAAACCCUAUUAUUAGUCCAAAGCUCAGAAGAGUUCAUCAAUUUGCCAAAGUUGCAAAUCUAAUCCAUGGUAGAAUUGGGAUUCAAAGCCUGGUCAAUGAGACUCCAGGAAGGACAGGAUUUAACCGCCUUGCCCUGUUGCAGAAAUUCAACUAGCCUGAGCAUUUUGCAAUGUGUCAUAACUUCUGAUAAUGGGCUGAAUAAAGGAUGGCAGCAACAUCGGUAGGAAUUGCAGUAUCUCUCAAAGUUACGGGCCAGGGGAGGGUGGGACAGGUGUCAGCAGACAGACUCCAUGGACAUGCUACAUCCUGGUGUCAGAUUUGGGGUACUGACCUCCACUGGGGUGUGUGUGGUGGAACAGGGUUCUGCCUAGUCACAGCCCAGUUCUAUCAGAUCAGGAACCCCGUCAUCCUCCCAGGCUCCUUCCUGGCCACCUGCAGCAGCUGGGCCCAGGGCUGCUUCCAUAUUCAAGAAAGAGAGACAUCGAAGUGACAGGGAUGGAACAGAAUGCUGAGAGAUCAAGGGAAGUUUCUAGUUAUUUUCCCAUCCACACCCAAGCUCUCUCGUCCUCCGUUGUCAGCCCAGUCAGGAACAUCUCGUCACUCACCCCACCUCCAUAGGAACUGACCCUCUGUGGAUGGUUUUCCAUGGCUGCCAUAACAAUGUGCACUAAGGGAGUGGCUUGAACCAAAGAAAUGUCUUGUUUCACAGUCCUGGAAGCUGGAAGUCCAAGAUCAAGGUGUCAGCAGGGUUGGACCCUUCUGAGGGCUGUGGGGAGAGUCUGUUCCUGGCCUCUCCCUUGGCUUCUGGUGGUUUGCUGGUGAUCCUCGGCUUGUAGAAGCUUCACUACGAUCCCUGCCUUCAUCUUCACCUGGCACUUUUCCUGCAUGAGUGUCUACCUCUAAAUUUCCCAUUUUUACUUAUUUUUUAUUUUAAAAUUAAAAAAACUUUUAAUAGUAGAAAAUUUUGAACAUACACAAAAAUAGAAUAGUAUAAUGAACCCCCAUGUACCCAUUACAUAGUGUCGACAAUGACCAACAAAUGGCCAAUCUUAUCUCAUUUGUUCCUCCUCCCUGCACCUAUCUCUAUGGAAAUAUUUUAAAGCAAAUUCUCCUUAUCAUUUUAUUUACAUACAUGUCAGUCACAUGUCUUCUAAAUGAUAACUUUUUUUUUUUUUUUUUUUGACACAGAGUCUCAGUCUGUCGCCCAGGCUGUAGUGCAGUGGUGCUAUCUUGGCUCACUGCAACCUCCACUACCUGGGUUCAAGCAAUUCUCAUGCCUCAACCUCCUGAGUAGCUGGGCUAACAGGUGCAUGCCACCAUGCCCAGCUAAUUGUGUGUGUGUUUAGUAGAGACAGGGUUUUGCCAUGUUGGCCAGGCUGGUCUUGAACUCCUGAUCUCAAGUGAUCCACCUGCCUUGGCCUCCCACAAAGUGCUGGGAUUACAGACGUGAGCCACCACACCCAGCCAAGAACUCUUAAAUACAUAAUUUUGAUACAAUUAUCUCACUAUUAACUGAACAAAACAGUAUCACCUGGCCAGUCAUGGUGGCUGACACCUGUAAUCCCAGCACUUUGGGAGGCUGAGGUGGGUAGAUCACUUGAGGUCAGGAAUUAGGGACCAGCCUGGCCAAUAUAGCGAGACCCUGUCUCUACUAAAAGUACAAAAAUUAGCCAGGCAUGGUGGCGUGCACCUAUAUUCCCAGCAACACAGGAGGCUGAAGCAGGAGAAUCACUUGAACCCAGGAGGCAGAGGUUGCAGUGAGCCGAGAUCACACCACUGCACUCCAGCCUGAGUGACAGAGUGAGACUCUGUCUCAAAAAACAAAACCAAAACCAAAAAACCCAGUAUUACCAGAUAGCUACUCAGUGUUCACAUUUCCCCAAAAGUCAAUUUGUUCAGGAUCUCAACAAGGUCUAUGUACACAUUGUGUUUGGUUGAUAUGUCUUAAAUUUCUUAAAAUCUAUAGUAGUUUCCUCUUCUCUCUUUUUUCUUAUCAUUUAUUUAUUGGAAAAAAUUAGUUCACUUACCUUGUAGCAUUUCACACAUUUUGAAUUUGGCUGAUUAUAUCCUUUUCUUUUCUUUUCUUGUCUUUUCUUUUUCUUUUCUUUCUUUCUUUUUUUUUUUUUAAAGAAAAGGUCUUGCCCUUGCUCUGUCAACGAGGCUGGAGUGCAGUGGCACAAAUACAACUCACUACAAUCUCCACCUCCUGGGUUCAAGCGAUCCUCUGGCCUCAGCCCUGCAAGUAGAUGGGACUUCAGGUACAUGCCACCAUGCCUGGCUAAUUUUUGUAGAGACGGGGUUUCGCAAUGUUGCCUAGGCUGGUCUUGAACUCCUGAGCUUAGCAGUCCACCCACCUGGGUGUCCUAAAGUCCUGGGAUUACAGGUGUGAGCCAUCAUGCCCAGCCCUUUUUCUUUUCUUUUUAUAAAAAGCUUUUAUUUUAGGUUCAGGGGUACAUGUGCAGUUUUGUUAUAUAGGUAAACUCUUGAUACUGGGGUUUGCUGUACAGAUUAUUUCAUCAACCAGGUAGUAAGCCUAGUAACCAAUCGUUUUUUCUGAUCCUCUCCUUCCUCCCACCUUCUACCCUCAAGUAGGCCCCAGUGUGUGCUAUUCCCCUCUAUGUGUCCACGUGUUCUCAUUAUUUACCUUCAACUUAUAAGUGAGAACAUGUGGCAUUUGGUUUUCUGUUCCUGCAUUAGUUUGCUAAGGAUGAUGACCUCUAGCUCCAUUCCUGUACCUGCAAAGGACAUAAUCUUCUCCUUUUUUAUAGCUGUGAAGUAUUCCAUAGUGUAUAUGUACAACAUUUCCUUUAUCCAAUCUGCCCUCGAUGAAUUUCCCAUUUUUUAAGGACACCAGUCAUAUUGGAUUAACCCCUUUCCUACUCCAGUAUGACCUUGUCUUACCUGAUUCCACAUGCAGUGAUCCUGUAUGAGUCUGUUCUUGCGCUGCUAUAAAGAAAUACCUGAGGGUAGGUAACUUAUCAAGGAAAGAGGUUUAACUGGCUCACGGUUCUGUGGGCUGUACAGGAAGCAUGGCUAUGGCAUCUACUCAGCUUCUGGGGAGGCCUCAGGGAGCUUUUACUCAGGGCGGAAGGCAAGUGGAGCAGGCAGAUCUCAUGGCCAAAGCAGGUGCAAGAGAAGGAGAAGGAGGGGCCACACACUUUCAACCCACCCGAUCUCACGAGAACUCACUCACCGUCAUGAGGACUGCACCAUGAGGAUGGGGCUGAACCAAUCAUGAGAAAUCCUCCUCCACGAGCCACUCACCUCCCACCAGGCCCCACCUUCCACACUGGGGACUACAUUUCAACAUGAGAUUUGGGGGGACAAAUAACUAAACUCUAUCAGACCCUAUCUCCAAAUAAAGGAACAUUCUGAGGCACUAGGGGUAGGACUUCAACAUAUAAAUUUUGGGGGUCCACAACUCAGCCCACAGCACUCCAUAAUUCAGAAAGCCUUUUCUUUCCUGCAAUAGUUUUGUUUGAGUCAAUUGGCUGUUGUAUCUGUAAUGUCUCACACUCACAAAGCAGCUCAUGAUCUUCCCUGGCUGUGGGGGGAGCACAGGCUUCCACAACCCAUGUGAGAUUGAGUGUAUUCCCUCCCAGGUCACAGACCCCCCAUCACAGGGCACAGCUCUUUGCAGAGCACACAGGCCCCCAUCAGGGGCUGGGGGAGCGGGCCCAGACCAGCACGGGUCCUCGAACUGCCGUGUUCUCAGAAAUGCUGAGUAUUCUCUCCUUAACAGCCUGGUUCCUGAGCCAUCUAUCCUAUCCUGAGCUGGUCUCCAUGUCACAGCGCUUACUUCUCUCACUUUGGCCUUUGCUUUGCCCUUCAUAUGAGCUGCCCUCCAUUGUCUUGUUGGCUAAGGCCUCGGCUCUUGCUCAUGGUUGCGUUGGCCACCUCGGGGAAUAUCUGUAAGGUUUGGGCUGACCCUGAAUCAUCCUGCCUCUGCCACUCUCCUGGGGGGACACUCCCACUCCAAGCCCCAGCUUCCUGGGAGAGGCCUGAAAAUGCUAUUCAGAGGGUGCUGACUCCCCUCGAGGGGCUGGAGCCAUCCUUAGAGAGUGCUGGAUUGUCCAAGGUCAACUUGGCAUUACCACCAACCCCAGGACCUCCCUCAAAGCCAAAGUCCCUUCUGCAGAGGGAAGCAAAGCCAGGAAUACUUCCCUGAACUCUGUCCCUGUCUGAUUCCUGGUUAGAGUUUGCAAAUGAGAAGCUCUCCUGAGAUUAGGACAGAGGUGGGGGAAAGGUCUUUGUUCUUCAGGGGUAGUUACAGCCAGAUCUGUAAGGAGUUGAGAUUUGGGAACAAUCAUGCUUGCUGCUGCCCACAAGUGUGGGACAUGUACCACUCUUUGAGUGUUUUGGGAUGAGGUCUUUGGUGUCAGCUUACCUGACCUCCACUACCCCAGGUCUUGCAAUAUUUCAGUAUACCCUUAAUUCUCUAAAUUAAAACUUUAAACACCUGGAGUACAUACAGUGGCUUCUGUUUUCUUCAUUGAAUCCUGUCUGAGAUAGAGAGAAGGAGCAAACCUCCAAUGACAGGCAACGUCUUACGGAUACUGUGGUGUUUUUUUAGGACGCAGUGACAGUGCUUCAGCAGUGAGGAGAGAACAAGGCAAAUUCCAGCAAAGAGAGCAGCCUCUCUGGGAGAGCCACCUUGAGGAGAAGAAAAGGGGCAUUUCAGGAAGGUUAAGCAAAGAAUCAGCAAAACCCAGAUUGGAAUCACUAGCUAGGCAAGUUGCUUCAUCUUUCUAGUCGGAGCCUCAGUUUCCUGAUCUGUGAAAUGGGGAGGUGACCACUCUUUACAUUAUCUAGUCAUGUGAAUUCAAUGA
rnacentral:lncRNA from 10 species